rnacentral:tRNA from 1 species
UCCCGUGUGGCUCAGUUGGUAGAGCAUGGUGUUUGCAACGCCAGGGUUGUGGGUUCGAUUCCCAAAGGGGAC